CGACUACUCCCUUCGUCCCAUAUGAAGUGACUCAAAUUUGUCCAAAUAUGGAUGUAUCUAUGCCUAAAAAGCGUCUAGAUAGAUAUAUGUAAUAGAAAGUCACUUAAUAUGGGACGGAGGGAGUAUUUU
rfam:Brachypodium distachyon strain Bd21 chromosome 5, whole genome shotgun sequence.